GACGAACGCUGGCGGCGUGCUUAACACAUGCUAGUCGAACGGAAAGGCCCUGCUUGCAGGGUGCUCGAGUGGCGAACGGGUGAGUAACACGUGGGUGAUCUGCCCCUUACUUUGGGAUAAGCCUGGGAAACUGGGUCUAAUACUGGAUAGGACCAUGCUGUAGGUGGUGUGGUGGAAAGAUUAGUUUCGGUAAGGGAUGAGCUCGCGGCCUAUCAGCUUGUUGGUGGGGUAAUGGCCUACCAAGGCGUCCACGGGUAGCCGGCCUGAGAGGGUGGACGGCCACAUUGGGACUGAUAUACCGCCCAGACUCCUACCGGAGGCAGCAGUGGGGAAUAUUGCACGAUGGGCGCAAGCCUGAUGCAGCGACUCCUCGUGGGGGAUGACGGCCUUCGGGUUGCAAGCUCCUUUCAUCCAUGACGAAACCCUUGUGGUGACUGUACCGGCACAAGAAGCACCGGCUAACUACGUGCCAGCAGCCCGCGGCUAUACGUAGGGCGCCAGCGGUGUCCGGAAUUACUGGGUGUAAGAGCUCGUAGGUGGUCUGUCGCGUCAUUUGUGAAGCCCGGGGCUUAACUCCCGGGUUGGCAGGUGAUACGGGCAUGACUGGAGUACUGUAGGGGAGACUGGAAUUCCUGGUGUAGCGGUGAAAUGCGCAGAUAUCAGGAGGAACACCGGUGGCGAAGGCGGGUCUCUGGGCAGUAACUGACGCUGAGGAGCGAAGGCAUGGGUAGCGAACAGGAUUAGAUACCCUGGUAGUCCAUGCCGUAAACGGUGGGCGCUAGGUGUGGGUUUCCUUCCACGGGAUCCGUGCCGUAGCUAACGCAUUAAGCGCCCCGCCUGGGGAGUACGGCCGCAAGGCUAAAACUCAAAGGAAUUGACGGGGGCCCGCACAAGCGGCGGAGCAUGUGGAUUAAUUCGAUGCAACGCGAAGAACCUUACCUGGGCUUGACAUGCACUGGAUGCGGCCAGAGAUGGUUGUUCCCUUUGUGGCUGGUGUGCAGGCGGUGCAUGGUUGUCGUCAGCUCGUGUCGUGAGAUGUUGGGUUAAGUCCCGCAACGAGCGCAACCCUUGUCUCGUGUUGCCAGCAUUUGGUUGGGGACUCGCGGGAGACUGCCGGGGUUAACUCGGAGGAAGGUGGGGAUGACGUCAAAUCAUCAUGCCCCUUACGUCCAGGGCUUCACACAUGCUACAAUGGCUGGUACAGAGAGUUGCGAUACCGUGAGGUGGGGCUAAUCUCGUAAAGCCAGUCUCAGUUCGGAUUGGAGUCUGCAACUCGACUCCAUGAAGUCGGAGUCGCUAGUAAUCGCAGAUCAGCAAUGCUGCGGUGAAAAAGUUCCCGGGCCU
rnacentral:rRNA from 1 species